GCCUUCGUGGUGUAGUGGUUCUGCACGCUGCACCGAUAUUCCAGAGGCCCGUGGUUCGAUUCCCGGUGAAGGCG
rnacentral:tRNA from 1 species